rnacentral:rRNA from 1 species
GACGAACGCUGGCGGCGUGCUUAACACAUGCAAGUCGAACGGUAAGGCCCUUCGGGGUACACGAGUGGCGAACGGGUGAGUAACACGUGGGUGAUCUGCCCUGCACUUUGGGAUAAGCCUGGGAAACUGGGUCUAAUACCGAAUAGGACUCCGGACUGCAUGGUCUGGGGUGGAAAGCUUUUGCGGUGUGGGAUGGGCCCGCGGCCUAUCAGCUUCUUGGUGGGGUGAUGGCCUACCAAGGCGACGAAGGGUAGGCGGCCUGAGGGGGUGACCGGCCACACUGGGACUGAGAUACGGCCCAGACUCCUACGGGAGGCAGCAGUGGGGAAUAUUGCACCAUGGGCGCAAGCCUGAUGCAGCGACGCCGCGUGGGGGAUGACGGCCUUCGUGUCGUAAACCUCUUUCAGCACAGACGAAGCGCAAGUGACGGUAUGUGCAGAAGAAGGACCGGCCAACUACGUGCCAGCAGCCGCGGUAACAC